CCAACUCCUCUUGUCUUAGGUAGUUGCCAACUCAAAUGGCUGUGUGUGUUUCCUGUUACUGGUUUCAUUUGGCUCUGGGAUUCCUCACCAUCUCUCCCUGAGUUAAUCUGUGGCAGUAAUAUAUGUAGAACAUCUAGCCUUCUACUUGCAGGAGGCUGCAUUUCAGCUGUGAUCCGGCUGCUCAGCUUUACCAGCAGUAAAAGCACUUUACCGGCUGUAAAAGCAGAGAGAUUCCUUGCUGGGCUAAAGCGUGAUGGGUUAACUCUGUCAGUUUGUCUACAUAAUAUCGGCUGGAAUACCAGUUCAAGUUCUCCUGAGUGAUUCGUGGAGGUGAGUGCUGAGGGCUGGUUUCUCAGGGAAUGCGCCGGGAAGGAGCGUGCCGCACAGUGCGCGUCUGCAGCCCGACAACUCUCGCGUCUGCCGCCUUUAAUCAUGGCAAAUGAAAGUUUCUAAACAGCGGAGGAUGCCAGGCUUUGUGUUCUGCCACCGGAGCUGCCUCUGCGCCGCCGUCAGUGCCGGUAAUUGCAGACAGAAGCUGCUUUGUGUUAAAGUGGCAUCGGUAAUUGAAACGGAAUUCAGAAUCAGGACCCUGCAGGCACCGCUCGGUGAAAGAAGAAAUAAAGAUCGUUUGGGUCACAUCUUUUGUAAUUUGCGUUUAAUAAUCGUACCAGGAGGUACAUACAAAGGGAGAGGAGAGAUAAGACACAGCCCACUCCCCCUCCUCGCUCUGCCUUGCAGCCUUCCCACGGAACGGAGGAGCCUGGUGGGAAGCCCGCUCUCCCCCCGCCUGGGCUGGGUGCUGGGAGCGCUGCCGGCUCGCUCCCACCGCGGCUCGGGCCGCUUGCUGAGGCCAAGCCAGAAGGAGAGAGAGAACGACUCCUUGGGUUCGUGUUAAACUGGAUGCUCAAGUUCUGGUCUUAUGGUUAGGCUGAGGAUUUACAGGCCCACGUGCUGGCUCUUGCCCAGUAAGUCUGGUUCAGCUCUGAGCAUCAGAGGGCACUCCACUGGUUUGCAGUUUGUGAGUUUCCCAUUGCAAUGGGAUCCUUUUGGUAUCCUUCAAUGGGCUUCUGCCUAUACAAGAAAAUGCAAGCUGUAGGAUGUGGCUUAUGAUGAAAUGUCCCAAAUUUCUCCCACCUCAGCACAAUAAGGCCUUCUCUGUUCUGCUUCUGGGAAAUGGAAAUUGCCUGUGCUCCCCACAAAUUUCAGCCAGGCUGUGCCUGAGAAGGCACAAGCUUGUGGGCACCAGCACUGUGCCAGGAGCCUGCCCAUGCUGAAAAAGCCCCAGCAGCAGAGCCCAUGCCCUUGUAAAUUCACUUGUGUGGAUGCAGCCUUGUGGUUUCCUUCUUGACCUGUUUGGUGAGUGACUUUUGAUCUCAGGAUAUUGGAGUUACCAGGGAAAGCCACAUAGUAAUAAAAAUAUUGCAGAAAAGCUCAGGAAAGGACUGUGGUACAAGAAACCAAGAUCCUGCCAAAGACUGUGAGAAAAAUGUAGGUGCAUGCUGAGUGCAGGUAACUUCUGUUCUUUUUGGCUUCAUGCAGUGCUUAGCUGAUGCUUGUUUGGCCCUAGAAGAAGACAGAUGCAGUCUCUCUUUCCUUCAUAUUAAAGUGCACAACACUGCUUCUGCUGCGGCCAGUGCUGUUCCCUGUCUGCCUUUUAGGGCAGGAUAGUGGGUGGGAUGGCCCUUCAGACUAAGCUGGUACAGCCUAUUUCUCUCAUGCUCCUGGCAGCUUAUCAUGGUGUGCUUCUGCUGGGCUUACCAUGGAGGUUGGGCUGAAGGUCCCAAAGAAGACACAGCAGGGUGGUGAUACAAACCUUCUCUUUCAGCCUCAUACUGGUCAGGGACAUUCAGCCGUUCUUACAGUGUACAAGUAUGCACUAAUAAGUUUCUGCUCUGAAGAAGCAUCUUCAUCAUCCAAUACAGGGUUCCCCUUAACCUAAGGCCCUGUUCCUGGAGGAGCUAAACCUGUCAGAUACCUCCACCAUAACCUCUGGGGUGGUUGAGACCUAUGAUGUCAUCUAAAAUAUGAGAACCAAGAUGAUCUGGUUCUAUGAUCAUAUAGUCCACUGAUCUGCCCUGUGAUUUCCCUUAGCUUUGGCUCUGUUGAGCCUUACUGUAGUGCAAAUAUAACCCAAAUUUCUUCUUCAGUAAAAAAAACCCCAGCAACACUU